rnacentral:tRNA from 1 species
GAAUGCGUGGUCUAGUUGGCUAUGAUACUUGGCUCAUUCCCAGGAGGUCGGGAGUUCGAUCCUCUCCGCGUUCG